CUUGAAACACUGAUUCCCGUACAAUCACCGAAGUUAAUCAGCGUUGAGCCUGGUCAGUACCGAGAUGGGUGACCGACUGGGAAUACCAGGUGUUGCAAGC